UGCAUUCACUACUGUAAGUCGCUCUGGAUAAGAGCGUCUGCUAAAUUAAUGUAA
rfam:Salmo salar isolate Sally breed double haploid chromosome ssa15, whole genome shotgun sequence.